rnacentral:snoRNA from 1 species
AAGACUAUACUUUCAGGGAUCAUUUCUAUAGUUUGUUACUAGAAGAGUAGACUCAGUUUAAGAGGGGUCAAACAAUUAAUGUU